rnacentral:tRNA from 1 species
GGAAGUUUAAGAUAACUUAGUCCCAUAGCCUUCAAAGCUGUGAGUAAGCUAUGCUUAGCUUCUG